rnacentral:rRNA from 1 species
UACGUAGGUGGCAAGCGUUGUCCGGAAUUACUGGGCGUAAAGCGCGCGUAGGCGGCUUUGCAAGUCGGGUGUGAAAUCCCCAGGCUUAACCUGGGAACUGCAUUCGAGACUGCAUUGCUAGAGUAUGGGAGAGGGAAGUGGAAUUUCCGGUGUAGCGGUGAAAUGCGUAGAUAUCGGAAGGAACAUCAGUGGCGAAAGCGACUUCCUGGACCAAUACUGACGCUCAUGUGCGAAAGCGUGGGGAGCAAACAGG